GCGGCUAUAGCUCAGUUGGGAGAGCGUCAGACUGAAGAUCUGAAGGUCCCACGUUCAAUCCGCGUUGGGCGCA
rnacentral:tRNA from 1 species